rnacentral:rRNA from 1 species
CCCUUAGAUGUCCUGGGCCGCACGCGCGCUACACUGACGGAGCCAGCGAGCUUACCCCUUUGCCGAAAGGCAUGGGAAAUCUUUUGAAUCUCCGUCGUGCUGGGGAUAGAUCAUUGCAAUUAUUGAUCUUGAACGAGGAAUUCCUAGUAAACGCGAGUCAUCAGCUCGCAUUGAUUACGUCCCUGCCCUUUGUACACACCGCCCGUCGCACCUACCGAUUGAAUGUUUCGGUGAAGAUUCCGGAUAGGACUUUUUUGAUUUAUUUCAAUUUUGUCUUAAAAGCUAUCUAAACCUCAACAUUUAGAGGAAGGUGAAGUCGUAACA